GAGUUCUUUCGAAAUCUUGAAGAUCAAGAUCCUGAAUUUCUGCCAAUACUGGAAAUGAAGUCAGUUAUUAUUAAAGAAUCAUUGGGAGCAGAUAUAACACAACUACAUUUCAGUGGUAUAGAACAAAUGACAGAUUUUAUGUUUUAUAUUUUAUUGAUUUCGAAAGGAAAUUUUGAAAAUGUAACUAAAUUAGUUUGUACAGGUUGUAUACAUUUAACAGAUCUAGGAAUGAAAUGGGCAUCAGAAUUAUUUCCUGCUUUGACAGCGUUUGUUGUUGAUGGCUGUUCAAAAAUAACAGAAAAAUCUGUUUAUCAUAUGGUAGCUGAACGGACUAAUUUUGCACAUGCUGUAUUUUCUGCUACAGAUGUUGCUUGUAUACCACCUGAAAUAAG